ACCGAAGAAUUUGUGGAUUUCGCGGGGUUCACGUCCGACGGGAAAUACUUGGUGACGCUCGGUGUUCCGCAGCUUGACGGCGGCCGUUCGACUCGGAGGGCCCAGGUGUGGCAGGUUAACAGUCGACCUC
rnacentral:ribozyme from 1 species